UGACGAGGAACCCGUGGACCGUUGCAGGUCGGCGUCUGGCCAACGCCCUACUCGGCCUCGGGUUUGGGUUCGAUUUCUGGUUCGUCGG
rnacentral:tRNA from 2 species